rnacentral:rRNA from 1 species
UAGCGAAAGUUACGCUAAUUCCGCAAAAGCAACGAGGUGGAAAGCCGGGGAUCGCAAGACCCUGCGCUAUACGAGCGGCCGAUGUCCGAUUAGCUAGUUGGUAGGGUAAAGGCCUACCAAGGCGACGAUUUGUAGCGGGUUUGAGAGGAUGAUUCGCCCCCCUGGGACUGAGACACGGCCCCGACUCCUUCGGGAGGCAGCCGUGGGGAAUUUUGGACAAUGGGGGGAACCCUGAUCCCGCCCUGCCGCGUGAGUGAAGAAGGCCUUCGGGUUGUAAAGCUUUUUUGGCUGGGAAGAAAUUGCCCCGGCUAAUUCUUUGUGUGGAUGACGGUUCAAAGGUAAGAAGCCCCGGCUAACUACGUGCCCGCAGCC